UGAAAUUGGAAAUGUCAGCAGACAGUGUUUCUCUGGAGUCUGCAUGAACCCUUUCUGGGUUUCUGCCAGGGUAUUCAUCCCUGAGCCCAACAAGCAGGUUAUGAGGGAUCCGGACUGCCAGGAGUCAAUAGAUCUGUAGCAUCCCCAGUGCAUUACUGAUCCUGCAGUCAGCAGUUCAAGCACGUAAUGUUUGCAGCUCUGCUAUUUGGAUCUGCUGAAUCUCCUGGAUGAGAACACUGGAGUUUCAACAUGCCAGGUAAUGAAGCGUACAGUUUGUGUUCCCUCACUGGGCUGGCUGCCUGUCAGGGUUUCUGAGGAAUCUGGGCUGCUGUCCAGAUUUGGUGGGACUGGGCUUUUCAGUAUUUGCACAGCAGGCAGUCUCUGCUAAUGCUCUGGAACAGGACUCUCAGUCAAAGGUUUGACCUUAAAAAGGAAGGGGGGAGGGAAACCAAUUUUCAAUGAAGCUGGUUUGAAAUUCAACUUCUGAAGUGCUCCAUGUAAUGGAAUUUUCUUGCUCAGACUAGCUCUUACAGUUAUUCACAGCAGCAUUUCUAGGUGUAGAGAAACUCAUACUUCAACUACUUGCUGACAUAAAUGCCUCGCUGUUCCCAGGAAAGGUUAAUUUCUGUGAAGAGGAACUGGCAGAUGCAAAUCCAGUGUGACUUAGAACAACAGGACUUUCUGUAUAUGAGCAGAUAAACCUAGCCACAAGCUAAUGGGUCCAAGGAGAUAACAGCUGGUUACCUGUGAAGUAUAUUAUCAGCAUUUAAAUAAGUAAGGGCUGAUGCUACUUUACCACUUGAUUAAGAAACUUUGGAAUGCUGUUAUAUAUGGGAUGAAGCACUUAACAGUUAUAAGUCAGGGAGCUGAUUUAACAGCUUAUCUUGUAGCCAUCUUGCUGUUUCAUUAUUAAAACCAAACACUUGCCACUAUGCAUACUAACAGCAGGAGAAUUUCCCAUCGGUGGUGUAAUUGCUUUUGUCAGUUUGUUUCAAAGUAAAAAGGUGCUGCUGUUUCACAGCAAAUUUGGUCACAAAGGUUCCUUCAUAGCAACUGCUGACCACUGGUGUUCUGCCAAAGUUGUAAUAGAAAACAUUCCCUCUUUACUUUGCAAUAUACUUGUCUGGACUGUGUGCCUCUAAAGCCAGGGAAGAGGGGAAGUAGGGCUGAGAGCCUACAUCAAAUCAUUUGAUACCAAACUUGUUUGGCUUUAAGGUCGUAGAUCUUAAAAAACAAGCAAGAAACAGAAAGACACAAUAUGACAUUGCUUGAAGAUGGAAAAUUGCAAUGCAGUUGGCAACUAGCACCAGGUGUCAGUUUCAAAAUACUAGUGGAUAUUCACCCCAAUUAAAAUAAUGAAUUCAGUCAUCUCUGCUUUCUCUCUUCCUGAAGGAUGGAUGAUAAGUUGAUGCUCCAGAAGCUGUGUGAUGGAUAUAUAACAAUACCUUGUACAUCAUCGUUUGCAUCCAACAUGCUUCACAGAUAAAGGUGACCUUCGACGAAAUACCCUGUUUUGUUCUAUACCAGUUGAAGUUGUGCAAGAUGAAAGGAAUUGACUGCAACUAGAAUGAACUUAUGUGAGUCACACAAAGUAGAGACUGCUUCAGGAUGGUAAAGAGAGCAGGAGAACAUGGAGAAAAAUCCCACUUCACACUGCAGAUGUCAGGAGAGUUGAGGUGAUGAUGGGUAAGACCCCACCUGGACUGCUGCUCAGCCCAAGGAAUAUGGAGAAGCCUUCCAGCUUCUGCUGCACUAUGGAAGCUGAAGCUCUGAUGGGUAAUCCAGUGCAUGUGAGAGAAUAAGGACAUGAUGUAACUGAACAGUAGCUCUGAAUUUGUUUAAUUAGAAGAAUUGGAAAUAUCUCAAUAUUUCUGGAGCAGAAUACCAGAAGGAAAGUAUAAAGGAAACUAAAGAAAAUGGGUGGCUUUUUUGAGUCUCGGUGUCACUGAGCAGAAGAGAAGGAGGAAUGUACUAUUGCAGAACAAUGAACCCAGUCCACCCCACAUUCUCCAUGAGAUCUUUGGACAUGUAAAAUUGAUAGCUUUUAUAUUUCCUUGAUUUCUUCAGAAAAGACUGGGAAACGGGCUGCAGUCAUACCACCUUCUUAUAGCAUAGAAGAGUCAUUUCCUAAGAAGUUAAAUUAGUCAGUCCCCAAAAAUCAUGUCCUUCAGGCAAGGUGCUUAGUCCAUUUGCCCCAAGCUGCCCCUCUGGCAGGGAGUUGCUCUCACUGCUCACCACCUGCAGCCCUGAGGCACCAGCACCACAACUAAUCACCCAGGUUUUGGAUGACUGUUCUCUUUGCCCCGCUUCACCAUGCUUUACUGGUAGCUUCAAAAGUGCAAACAAAAAAUGCUGAAUAAUUAUUAAUCAAGGAGGCAUUUUUGUUUGAAGUCCAAAUGUUUCAGCAUCUUUCAAAUUCCAGAAGUCAAAAACUAAAUUAAAUUAAGAUCCAGUUGGGCACUGCAGUGACCAGCAUGCUCACAUUGCCAGGGUGCCAGCACCCAGUAUGUGCAAAAGCUGCAUGUGCAGAAGAUGAAAGAGAGUUCACAUGCAGUCAUUCACCCACUGGAUGAUUGUGGUUAGACCCAGUGAGAGGCAACCUUUCUGAAAAAACACAGCAGAGCUGAGAAAAACAAGGUGGAGGAUGCAGCCUGCCUUGCCUCCUUAGGCACUCUGCCGAGGGGCAUCAAUGCUGUAUGUGAAAUAUACGGACUUCUGAGCCCACCCAAAGCCAAGCAGCCUGACCACAGUGGGAUGUGUCCCAUAUAUCCAUGACUCAGUCCAUAGGAGCCCCUUCUGACUGUCUUAAUUUGUACCUUUUUCCCUUUCCUAAUCCAUUUGUAUUAUGUAAAGCAACUACCCAAUCUCAGCAAUUUGAUGCCUUUCCUGUUAAAUAAAUAAAUAAAUAAAUAAAUAAAUAAAUAAAUCUGCAAAUAAUUUAA